UACGUAGGGUGCGAGCGUUACUCGGAAUUACUGGGCGUAAAGAGCGCGCAGGCGGUCGUUCAAGUCGUGUGUGAAAGCCCCCGGCUCAACUGGGGAGGGUCAUUCGAUACUGAUCGACUUGAAGGCAGGAGAGGGAAGUGGAAUUCCCGGUGUAGUGGUGAAAUGCGUAGAUAUCGGGAGGAACACCAGUGGCGAAGGCGACUUCCUGGCCUGUUCUUGACGCUGAGGCGCGAAAGCUAGGGGAGCAAACGGG
rnacentral:rRNA from 1 species